GCGUCCCGCCUCGUGAUCGUCUUCUCACCCUUCGCGCGGCGGGCCGGAGGAACGGAGCGCCCCCGCACGUCCGAUACGUGCGGGGGCGCUCC
rnacentral:ncRNA from 1 species